rnacentral:rRNA from 1 species
AAUGAACGCUGGCGGCAGGCCUAACACAUGCAAGUCGAAGCGAAGCCUUCGGGUUUAGUGGCGGACGGGUGAGUAACGCGUGGGAACGUGCCCUUUGGUUCGGAAUAGCCCUGGGAAACUGGGAGUAAUACCGAAUGUGCCCUUCGGGGGAAAGAUUUAUCGCCAAAGGAUCGGCCCGCGUUGGAUUAGGUAGUUGGUGGGGUAAUGGCCCACCAAGCCGACGAUCCAUAGCUGGUUUGAGAGGAUGAUCAGCCACACUGGGACUGAGACACGGCCCAGACUCCUACGGGAGGCAGCAGUGGGGAAUCUUAGACAAUGGGGGAAACCCUGAUCUAGCCAUGCCGCGUGAUCGAUGAAGGCCUUAGGGUUGUAAAGAUCUUUCAGAUGGGAAGAUAAUGACGGUACCAUCAGAAGAAGCCCCGGCUAA